UACGUAGGGGGCAAGCGUUGUCCGGCAUCAUUGGGCGUAAAGAGCGUGUAGGCGGCUCGAUAAGUCUGCUGUGAAAGUCCAGGGCUCAACCCUGGACGGCCGGUGGAAACUGUCGGGCUAGAGUCCGGAAGAGGCGAGUGGAAUUCCCGGUGUAGCGGUGAAAUGCGCAGAUAUCGGGAGGAACACCAAUGGCGAAGGCAGCUCGCUGGGACGGUACUGACGCUGAGACGCGAAAGCGUGGGGAGCAAACAGG
rnacentral:rRNA from 1 species